CACGUAGGGCGCAAGCGUUGUCCGGAAUUAUUGGGCGUAAAGAGCUCGUAGGCGGUCUGUUGCGUCCGCUGUGAAAACUCGGGGCUUAACCCCGAGCCUGCAGUGGAUACGGGCAGACUAGAGGUAGGUAGGGGAGAAUGGAAUUCCCGGUGUAGCGGUGAAAUGCGCAGAUAUCGGAGGAACACCGGUGGCGAAGGCGGUUCUCUGGGCCUUACCUGACGCUGAGGAGCGAAAGCGUGGGGAGCGAAACAGG
rnacentral:rRNA from 1 species